rnacentral:antisense_RNA from 1 species
GACCAAAAUGUUCCGACUCCAUUAGACCAUGCAGCAAGCAUAAAGUUUUGAACGAAGCAGGCAG